rnacentral:rRNA from 1 species
GUCUACAGCCAUGCUACCCUGAACAAGCCUGAUCCUGUCUGAUCUCGGAAGCUAAGCAGGGUCAGGCCUGGUUAGCACUUGGGUGGGAGAGCUCCUAGGAAGACCAGGUGCUAUAGGUG